rnacentral:rRNA from 1 species
CGAGAAAGCCCGCAAGGGUGAGUAAAGCGGCGCACGAGUGCGUAACACGUGGGUAAUCUGCCCUAGAGUCCGGAAUAACUCGCCGAAAGGCGUGCUAAUGCCGGAUGAGACCACGGGAGCCUCGGCUCCUGAGGGAAAAGGUGGCCUCUGUAAACAAGCUAUCGCUCUAGGAUGAGCCCGCGGCCCAUCAGCUCGUUGGCGGGGUAAUGGCCCACCAAGGCUACGACGGGUAGCUGGUCUGAGAGGACGAUCAGCCACACUGGAACUGAGACACGGUCCAGACUCCUACGGGAGGCAGCAGUGGGGAAUCUUGCGCAAUGGGCGAAAGCCUGACGCAGCGACGCCGCGUGUGUGAUGAAGGUCUUCGGAUCGUAAAGCACUGUCGCGAGGGACG